AGAAACAGGACAGCACCCAUCUUUGUCAAGAGGGGCCCUCACUGCCUGGUCAUCAGCAAUCCAAGAUGGCUGACAGUCAGGUGGUGGUGGUCAAGAGCAAGGUCGAGGCUCACCUGUGCCCAUUUGGUUCCGUACAUUGCUCACUAGAGGCAUCAUCGACAGAGUAUGAAUCAGCUCCCCAAUUAGCCUGACCGUAAUCACCUGUGUUGCUUGAUUAUUAUACAAAUUCCCCGACCUCAUACCGACCUACUGAAUCGAAAUCUCUAGGAGUAGAUUCUGGGAAUCUGUAUCGCUGGUAAAGCUCCCAGGUGAUUCCUAUAAUCUGGCAAUGUGGGAGACACGAGCAUUAAGGGAACCCAGCAACAGGCUCCAUCCUCUGCCUAACAUCAGCAACCUCAGCAGAGACUUGGUCCCAGGGACCUUGCUCCAUUAUGUACCCCAAGACACUGUCCCUAAAUGGUGCACAAAGCAGACUCAGGCCUGUCUCACACACUGGCAAAGCUGCUGCCCCCCAGCUCAAACCAGGUAGUCAGGCUUAGGAAAACCACCCUGCCUGCUGGUAAUUAGCCAUGUGAUGUUAAAGAAGCAGCUGUGGCUGUUUGGAAUAUGACUGUUCUGGAAGGACUUUUCUCCUCUUUUUCACCACCACACUCCCUCGAAUGACUCACAGUUCUCCACUUCCUGUUUUGGAGGCGCUGGCCGGCAUAUAGCCACAAGGGGUCAGCAGAGACAAAGGCAAUGUUGGUGAGGCCAUGUACAUUUUCAUCUCCUUGAGCUGGUACUGUGAGCAAGCUGUUCAUCUCUCCACGCCAACCUCAAUCUUCCUCUCUAAAAAAGGGACUGAUGCUACUUUCCUAAUCCUGCCAUGACCUUUGCAAAUAAAACACUUAACUGAACACACUGUAGUCCUCCAACUGAGGUAAAUUAAUUCCAUCCUAAUGCCAUCUGGAAUCCCAGAAGCAGUCAUUAAUUAUACAGUGUCUUGCCUGUAACUCAAUACAUGAAAAGACAAAAAGAUUUACCUAAAUGAUCUUUUCAGAAACCACUGCACACCCCCCAAGAUCAACCUUACAUAAAGGGCAACAUAUUCUGCCUUUGGGAAAUGAAACGAUGCCCCUGACCCACCAUCCAUAAAGGAUGUACUAUGAGACAUGAGUGCAAAGGACAAUCCUGACAUGUCCUAACAUGCAACCGACGUUUACCCAGGGACCAAAGGAAUGGAUGUAAUUUCUUGAGCUAAACUGCCCAAAUGCUUGUAUAUAGGGUCCUUUAGAAGUCUCUCUAUGUGGCCGGGUGUGGUGGUUCAAGCCUGUAAUCCUAGCACUUUGGGAGGUUGAGGCUGGUGGAUCACCUGAGGUCAGGAGUUCAAGACCAGCCUGACCAACAUGGCAAAACCUCGUCUCAACUAAAAAUACAAAAAUUAGCCAGGUGUGGUGGUGCACACCUAUAAUCCCAGCUACUCAG
rnacentral:lncRNA from 1 species